CACGUAGGGUGCGAGCGUUGUCCGGAAUUAUUGGGCGUAAAGAGCUCGUAGGCGGUGUGUCGCGUCGGCCGUGAAAACCUGCAGCUUAACUGUGGGCUUGCGGUCGAUACGGGCAUCACUGGAGUUCGGCAGGGGAGACUGGAAUUCCUGGUGUAGCGGUGAAAUUCGUAGAUAUCGGGAGGAACACCGGUGGCGAAGGCGGCGACCUGGGUCGAUACUGACGCUGAGGUGCGAAAGCGUGGGGAGCAAACAGG
rnacentral:rRNA from 1 species